rnacentral:rRNA from 1 species
UACCAGCACCCCGAGUGGUCGGGACGAUUAUUGGGCCUAAAGCAUCCGUAGCCGGUUUUACAAGUCCUCCGUUAAAUCCAACUGCUUAACAGAUGGGCUGCGGAAGAUACUAUAGAGCUAGGAGGCGGGAGAGGCAAGCGGUACUCGAUGGGUAGGGGUAAAAUCCGUUGAUCCAUUGAAGACCACCAGUGGCGAAGGCGGCUUGCCAGAACGCGCUCGACGGUGAGGGAUGAAAGCUGGGGGAGCAAACCGGG